rnacentral:rRNA from 1 species
CCGGCGUAAAAUGUGGUUAACAUAUUAUUAUACUAAAGCUAAACAUCUUCAAAGCUGUUAUACCCACACGAAGACAGGAAAACCUUCUACGAAAGUGGCUUUAAAUAAUGCUAACCCACGAAAACUAGGAAA